rnacentral:lncRNA from 1 species
GGAGAAUGUAUCUAGGGUUAGGAGAAUGUAUCUAGGGUUGGGAGAAUGUAUCUAGGGUUAGGAGAAUGUAUCUAGGGUUAGGAGAAUGUAUCUAGGGGUAGGGUUAGGAGAAUGUAUCUAGGGUUAGGAGAAUGAGAAUGUAUCUAGGGUUAGGAGAAUGUAUCUAGGGUUAGGAGAAUGUAUCUAGGGUUAGGAGAAUGUAUCUAGGGUUAGGGUUAGGAGAAUGUAUCUAGGGUUAGGAGAAUGUAUCUAGGGUUAGGAGAAUGUAUCUAGGGUUAGGAGAAUGUAUCUGGGGUUAGGAGAAUGUAUCUAGGGUUAGGAGAAUGUAUCUAGGGUUAGGAGAAUGUAUCUAGGGUUAGGAGAAUGUAUCUAGGGUUAGGAGAAUGUAUCUAGGGUUAGGAGAAUGUAUCUAGGGUUAGGGUUAGGAGAAUGUAUCUAGGGUUAGGAGAAUGUAUCUAGGGUUAGGGUUAGGAGAAUGUAUCUAGGGUUAGGAGAAUGUAUCUAGGGUUAGGGUUAGGAGAAUGUAUCUAGGGUUAGGAGAAUAUAUCUAGGGUUAGGAGAAUGUAUCUAGGGUUAGGAGAAUGUAUCUGGGGUUAGGAGAAUGUAUCUAGGGUUAGGAGAAUGUAUCUGGGGUUAGGAGAAUGUAUCUAGGGUUAGGAGAAUGUAUCUAGGGUUAGGAGAAUGUAUCUAGGGUUAGGAGAAUGUAUCUAGGGUUAGGAGAAUGUAUCUGGGGUUAGGAGAAUGUAUCUGGGGUUAGGAGAAUGUAUCUAGGGUUAGGAGAAUGUAUCUGGGGUUAGGAGAAUGUAUCUAGGGUUAGGAGAAUGUAUAGAUAAUGAUAUUAAAUCAAUUGAACAUGACUUAAAUGUAAGACAAAUACAUUGUGUGUGUGUGUGUGUGUGUGUGUGUGUGUGUGUGUGUGUGUGUGUGUGUGUGUGUGUGUGUGUGUGUGUGUGUGUGUGUGUGUGUUUAG